rnacentral:rRNA from 1 species
UUAACCGUAUAGGGGAGCCGUAGGGAAACCGAGUCUUAACCGGGCGUUAAGUUGCAGGGUAUAGACCCGAAACCCGGUGAUCUAGCCAUGGGCAGGUUGAAGGUUGGGUAACACUAACUGGAGGACCGAACCGACUAAUGUUGAAAAAUUAGCGGAUGACCUGUGGCUGGGGGUGAAAGGCCAAUCAAACCGGGAGAUAGCUGGUUCUCCCCGAAAGCUAUUUAGGUAGCGCCUCGUGAACUCAUCUCCGGGGGUAGAGC